AUUGAACGCUGGCGGCAGGCCUAACACAUGCAAGUCGAACGAGUGGCGGACGGGUGAGUAAUGUCUGGGAAACUGCCUGAUGGAGGGGGAUAACUACUGGAAACGGUAGCUAAUACCGCCUACCAUCGGAUGAACCCAUAUGGGAUUGGCUAUUAGGUGAGGUAAUGGCUCACCUAGACGACGAUCCCUAGCUGGUCUGAGAGGAUGAUCAGCCACACUGGGACUGAGACACGGCCAAGACUCCGACGGGAGGCAGCAGUGGGGAAUAUGGCAAAAUGGGCGCAAGGCUGAUGCAGCCAUGCCGCGUGUAUGAAGAAGGCCCUAGGGUUGUAAAGUAAUUGCAGUCGGGAGGCGUUACCGACAGAAGAAGCACCGGCUAACUCCGUGCCAGCAGCCGCGGUAAUUC
rnacentral:rRNA from 1 species